CAAAAGCAUCAUAGCAAGGGUAGUUUAAUGGGUCAAACAAUUAGGCACUUUGACUCUUUCUCCAUUGAGGACAUAAUAAGUGGGGGCAGUCUAGGUCCAUUAGGUAUUGGUGGAACCUUUAGGGAUUGUACUCAUACUGACCAUAUAUUCAGUACUGAUAGGGAAGGGAAGCUCAAUAAAAGAAGAACUAUYAGCAGCAUUGCAAGGACUAAGGAACAUAAUUAUAGAAAUAUWGGAGAUUCAAGCAACUAAAUGACUCAAAAUUAGGAGCUGAACCCAUGGCUGUACAAGAAUAUCAUGAACGAGAUUAAAAUGCUGAAAAGGAAAUCAGUUAUAAGUGUAAAAUGGGUACAAAUGUCAGCCAAAGGGAUGGCUGAUACUCUUACCAAACCAAGGGGUAAACCGAGGGCAAUUAUUUGGGGGUCAGGUGGAAAAGGGUUGUAACACUGGACCAUACAUCAUCUCUAUGUCUAUUGGUGGUCACACUGGACCAUACAUUUCUGAUUCUAUAGCCAUUGGCUCCUUCCAUGCCAUGAAGAGUGGGAUUCUCACCUCAGCAGCAGCUGGAAACUUUGGACCUUCUGCUGGUACUGUAAGUAAUUAUGCUCCAKGGAUUCUCACUGUAGCCGCAAGAACUACUGAUCGAGAGUUCAGGAACAAAGUUGUUCUGGGGAAUGGCAAGUCUGUAUAUGGAGUUGUAAUUGACAGUGUCUCCAAACAAAAGUUUCUAUCCUCUUAUAAAGGGUGCUGAUGCUGUUCUUAAUACAUCUCAAUACACAGCUUAUGCAAGGCAACUGACUCUUCUCCCUAACUGUUACAAAGAUUCAUUGGACCCCAAGAAGGUGAAAGGAAAGAUUGUAUACUACGACAACUUUUAUGAUGCACCCGAUUACAAUGUGAAGAAAAUGGGAGGGGUUGGAACCAUACUAGAAUCGAAUUUCGGACCUUU